GCCCUCACUAAAGGAAUUAGAACUCUUCAAAUAAAGAGAUAGUACUCGUCGUAUAUUUUGGCGGCAAAAUGCGAGCAACUUGUUGGAAGCAGCAGUUUCUAAUGAACGUUCCAGAUUCUAAACGAUUCUUAUUCCUUAAAAGUGGUUUUGGUUCGAUUUUGGUAACCCUGGAAUUUUACAGAAUGAUGCCAUUGAGCUAAUGGAUCCGGAAGCGAAAUCCCAGUUUUUCACAACUGUCAACUUCUAUGGCACUUCUAGAAAAAGAAAACGAAUUGAAAAGAAAUUGGAGCAAAAAGCUGCAAAAUACUCCGAAGAAUUAAUUCCAAAGAAGUUUCCUUCGAGGUGAGUUAAUUUUGAACACGGGAGAUAACAAACUUAAGG